rnacentral:rRNA from 1 species
GGGAUUGCCCUAGUAACGGCGAGUGAAGCGGCAACAGCUCAAAUUUGAAAUCUGGCGCAAGCCCGAGUUGUAAUUUGUAGAGGAUGCUUCUGGGUAGCGACCGGUCUAAGUUCCUUGGAACAGGACGUCAGAGAGGGUGAGAAUCCCGUAUGUGACCGGCCCGCACCCUCCACGUAGCUCCUUCGACGAGUCGAGUUGUUUGGGAAUGCAGCUCUAAAUGGGAGGUAAAUUUCUUCUAAAGCUAAAUACCGGCCAGAGACCGAUAGCGCACAAGUAGAGUGAUCGAAAGAUGAAAAGUACUUUGGAAAGAGAGUUAAACAGCACGUGAAAUUGUUGAAAGGGAAGCGCCUGCAAUCAGACUUCGCGGCAGUGUUCCGCCGGUCUUCUGACCGGUCCACUCUCUGUCGCGAGGCCAUCAUCGUCUCGGCCCGCUGGAUAAGACCUUGGGAAUGUAGCUCACCUUCGGGGGAGUGUUAUAGCUCAUGGUGAUGCAGCGAGGCUGGGGCGAGGUCCGCGCUUCGGCAAGGAUGAUGGCGUAAUGGUUGUCGGCGGCCCGUCUUGAAACACGGACCAAGGAGUCUAACAUCUAUGCGAGUGUUCGGGUGUCAAACCCCUACGCGUAAUGAAAGUGAACGGAGGUGGGAACCGCAAGGUGCACCAUCGACCGAUCCUGAUGUCCUCGGAUGGAUUUGAGUAAGAGCAUAGCUGUUGGGACCCGAAAGAUGGUGAACUAUGCCUGAAUAGGGUGAAGCCAGAGGAAACUCUGGUGGAGGCUCGCAGCGGUUCUGACGUGCAAAUCGAUCGUCAAAUUUGGGUAUAGGGGCG